rnacentral:lncRNA from 1 species
UGCUGUGGCAUUGUGGCCCAUUGAGCUUAGGCAAGGAGAAUUGUCUGCUAAAGGAAUGUGUUUAUUUUAUCUGCUGCAGACAUAUCUUCCAAGUGAAACACCAGGGCCACUGCGCAAGUACAGAAAAGGGGAACUGGUGAAUCUGAGGGGAGAUGGAACCGGAGAGCUUAAGGAAUGGGAUCGAGUGUAUGACUAUGCUUACUAUAAUGAUUUGGGGAAGCCAGACAGGGAUCUCAAAUAUGCCCGCCCUGUGCUGGGAGGAUCUGCAGAGUAUCCUUAUCCCAGGAGGGGAAGAACUGGUAGACCACCAUCUGAAAAAGGUAGAUAUUUGAUACACAAAUUCAUAUUGUUUUCUCAUGCUUUUAUCAUAAAAGGAUGAAUAUGAUUGAUUUCUGCUCUUCUUUUAAUUAACAGAUCCCAAAACUGAGAGCAGAUUGCCACUUGUGAUGAGCUUAAACAUAUAUGUUCCAAGAGAUGAACGAUUUGGUCACCUGAAGAUGUCAGACUUCCUGGCUUAUGCCCUGAAAUCCAUAGUUCAAUUCCUUCUCCCUGAGUUUGAGGCUCUAUGUGACAUCACCCCCAAUGAGUUUGACAGCUUCCAAGAUGUAUUAGACCUCUACGAAGGAGGAAUCAAGGUCCCAGAGGGCCCUUUACUGGACAAAAUUAAGGACAACAUCCCUCUUGAGAUGCUCAAGGAACUUGUUCGUACCGAUGGGGAACAUCUCUUCAAGUUCCCAAUGCCCCAAGUCAUCAAAGGUACUGCAUACAUCUAACAUCUUGUAAUCUUUGAAGCCAGAUUUAUAUAUUUAUUUUUCAUAAAAUUGAUGACGUUUUUAUCAUGCUGGAGCAGAGGAUAAGUCUGCAUGGAGGACUGACGAAGAAUUUGCUAGAGAAAUGCUGGCUGGACUCAACCCAGUUGUCAUCCGUCUACUCCAAGUAAACUACAGCUUCCUUUCAAAUAAUUUUUAAUGCCCUGUUUGUUUUCUGAGAAAAUGGAACUUGGAAAGGCUUCCAGACUUUGUUUUCUUUCCCUCCAUCUACUGUUCUAGCUCUUUUCUGAUAAUUAUUGGCUCUUUCUACUUUGUUUGAAGGAGUUUCCUCCAAAAAGCAAGCUGGAUCCUGAAGUUUAUGGCAACCAAAACAGUUCAAUAACCAAAGAACACAUAGAGAAUCACCUGGAUGACCUUACUAUAAACGAGGUAACGCUCUUAGGUUCCGUUCUUUCAAACUAAAUUUUUCAAUGUCGACAUGUUAAUUUUUUGCAUUGGAACACAAGCCAUAGUAACUGAAAAAUGGUGCUUUUUACUAGGCAAUGGAGAAGAAGAGGCUAUUCAUAUUAGAUCACCAUGAUGUUUUCAUGCCAUACCUGAGGAGGAUAAACACAACUUCCACGAAAACUUACGCCUCAAGGACUCUCCUCUUCCUGAAAGACGACGGAACUUUGAAGCCACUGGCGAUUGAAUUGAGCCUACCACAUCCUAAUGGGGAUAAAUUCGGAGCUGUCAACAAAGUAUACACACCAGCUGAAGAUGGCGUUGAAGGUUCCAUUUGGCAGCUGGCUAAAGCUUAUGCUGCUGUGAAUGACUCUGGCUAUCAUCAGCUCCUCAGCCACUGGUACGUAAUCUCCCAAAGGAAAGUGCGUACAGUUGGGGCGUAAAUCUGAAGCGGGUUAUGAAUAUCUUUGAUGUUGGUUGCAGGUUGAAUACACAUGCUGCAAUUGAGCCAUUUGUGAUUGCAACCAACAGGCAGCUCAGUGUGCUUCACCCAAUUCACAAGCUUUUGCAUCCUCACUUCCGUGAUACGAUGAAUAUAAAUGCAUUAGCUCGACAAAUCCUCAUCAAUGCUGGUGGAGUGGUGGAGAGCACAGUUUUUCCAUCAAAGUAUGCCAUGGAAAUGUCAUCUGUUGUUUACAAAGACUGGGUUCUCACUGAGCAAGCACUUCCUGCUGAUCUCAUCAAGAGGUAUAUAAAUACUGUUAGUGAUUGUUUUCUUUCCUGCUGUGCAAUGAAUCUAGUGAAAAUUGUGAUUUUCAUCUAACUGAUAUGCUCCAACUUGGGCACUCUUUCAGAGGAAUGGCGGUUGAGGAUUCAGAGGCCCCUCAUGGACUCCGCCUACUGAUAGAUGACUACCCCUAUGCUGUUGAUGGACUUGAGAUCUGGUCAGCUAUUGAGACAUGGGUGAAAGAGUAUUGCUCAUUCUACUACAAGACAGAUGAGAUGGUCCAGAAAGACUCUGAGCUUCAGUCCUGGUGGAAGGAAGUCAGGGAAGAGGGUCAUGGCGACAAGAAGGACGAGCCUUGGUGGCCUAAAAUGCGUACUGUCAAAGAGCUGAUAGAAACAUGCACCAUUAUCAUCUGGGUGGCUUCUGCUCUCCAUGCUGCAGUGAAUUUCGGGCAGUACCCUUAUGCAGGCUACCUCCCAAACCGCCCAACGAUAAGCCGCAGAUUCAUCCCUGAAGAAGGCACUCCUGAGUAUGAAGAACUCAAGUCCAAUCCUGAUAAGGCUUUCCUGAAAACAAUCACUGCCCAGCUGCAGACCCUUCUUGGCAUCUCCCUUAUUGAGGUCCUUUCCAGGCAUUCUUCCGAUGAGGUUUAUCUUGGACAGAGAGACACUCCUGAAUGGACCCUGGACACAACACCAUUGAAAGCUUUUGAGAAAUUCGGAAGGAAGCUGGCAGACAUUGAAGAAAUGAUCAUAGAUAGAAAUGGAAAUGAGAGAUUCAAGAACAGAGUUGGGCCUGUGAAGAUACCAUACACACUGCUCUACCCCACAAGCGAAGGUGGGCUUACUGGCAAAGGGAUUCCCAACAGUGUCUCCAUCUAAAUUUUCCUGGAAAAUCAUGAGCACACUGCUGAUCAAGAUGGCUUAAAUGCACAUUGCUAAUAUAGUAUACUGUAAUUUAUAAUACCUAUUUUUCGACUUUGUAGGAUUCAUAUUGAUGCAUAUAUUUAUAAUAAGGAAUUAUUUAUUGCUAGAAAAUUGGGAGCUUUUCACUUUUUUUAUGAUCUGUGCCACACUUAAUGUUAAAAGAUGAAGGUGAAGUAGCAAAACAGUUGAUCUGAAUGCGCAGCCAUUGAUAUCAGGAAUCAAAGUCAGAUGGUGCAAAUGCUCUCAAAACAUCCACCCUCCCACAAAAUUAUCUAUAAUUUACAUGUUAACAAGAACUCAAGAGUGAGUAAGAAACUAUGUUGAGAAAUACUUUCUGAAACCACUGAGGAAAGUGUCCAUUUGAAGAAGUGUGAGACUCUUACCUAAGAAGUGUCUGUAGAUUUGAAUAGUAACUGCCAAUAUCUCUAUCAAAUCUUUAUUAUUACAUGUAUUAGAUUUUGAUAUGAUGCUUGGAUAGUAUGCCUAUAAACAAAUGCAUCCCCGAGCUUCUUCUUUGUAUAUUCUUCUGCUCUCACAUUCUUGGCUUUCUUCUGCUUAGCUUUGUUGUUGUUGUUGAAGAAGAAGAGAUGUUUGUUCAAUUGUUAGUGCCAUUACUGGUAAAAAUGAUAAGAAGAAGACAAGGGAGCAGUUGUGCUGAUGAGAAGAAUGUGUUGGAUUUAAUGACUUCAAUACAUCGGCUCUGGACCGGGUUCAUGAGCUCUUAGGACAGGGAGUCUCUCUGCAGCUAGAAUUUUGACUCGUGUAGACAGACAUAGAAUCAAACUGAAUUUAUUGAUCAUUACAUAAUUGGAUUAAGAGCUAUAUAUUCUUCUUGUUGAUCAACAGUUAUCUUCAAGGGGUAGAAAAACAUAACUUCAUGUGUGACUGGUCAUGUUUAGCUUCUGGUCCACCAUUUCAUUGUUAGUUGUCACCUUCCAAAACUAAGUGAAGACUGGCAGUUGAUACAGUGAAAACUUCACAUGCUCGCACUUCACUCUUCACACUAGCUUAUCUACUACUCAUUUUCUACUUUGAUAUCAUCUUGGUUUUCAAGUCUUCUAAUGACUAGAUUGCAAUUUCAAGAGGAAGAAAAUCUUGCCUUUGAUGAAGCCUGUUUUCAGCCUUUUAAGUAUUAAGUUGUUUGUUUUUGUAAUAUUUUGUUUAUAUUAAAUAUUAAAAAAAUAAAGAAAAAGCAAAAUAUUUGAUUUUUUUUUUCUAUUUAGCCAAAAACUAAUAAUAAGUCAUGAAAAAAAUGGAAAAACAAACAAUGUAAAGUUUGAAAGCAAAUUACUUUCAGCAAAAGAUUAAAAAAACAAAUACCCUCGAAGUUCGACUUAAGUUGGCUUAACAUCGAUCUCAUGUAGACCGGGAUCCUUAGCUGGCCCAUGGCCCAUAUCCCAUGUCCUAAUUGGCAAUUUUUAUUGACUUUCUUACAUUCCUUGCACUAAGGUCAUGUUUGAAACGUUGGAAUAAAGAAUGGGAAGGGAAAAUCGAUUCUAUCUAUUAUAUUUUUCAUUCAUUCAUGUGUUCGGAUUGUUCUUAAGAACGAAAAUAAUAAAAAAAUUCACUAUUAUGGAAAUCAAAUGCUACUCUCAUUAGGAUUUUUAUUCCUCUUUUCUAAAUGCCAAACGUGUCUAAAUUGAAUAGAUUGAGUUAAAUUUGAGUUGGCAUGGCAGCACAUGUAUGUCCUUUAGGCUGAGUAGGUCAAGAAAAGCCAUCUCACAUUGUCUCACCAAGCAAUUGUGAGAUGAUAUCCUUACCCAUAUGUUCUAAUAGGAAUAAAAUAUUAUGAUCAUUGUGAUUUAUUACAUGACUAUCUACCAUUCUGAAUUGAUUGUUAGGAAGAGCACUUCCAACAACCAACUUCAUCACUUUGGUAUGGUCAAUUUGAAGGUCUUAUGGUUUGGAAAUUGGAAAUCCUAUAUAAAAAUUUUAUUUUUAAAAAUAAAAAAUAAAAAAUAAAUCAAAAUAGUUAUUUUAAAAAUAAAAAUCAACAUGAAGGUGGAAUAGUUCUCUUUCCUUAUAAUAGGUGGAAGGCAAGUAACACCCAAAAAUAAAUAUACAAGGAAAAUUAGUUACAUUUGAAAGCUACAUCAUUAAGUAAUUUGGUAGAAAUAUUAAUGAAAAGUAGGCAAUUCAUUCAUGUUUCAUCAAAUCAAGUGGAAAGCUGUAUGCAUUGUUGACUAAUUUGCUGGAAAUAUUAAUGAUGAUUGAUGUUGUUUACAUAGACAUGUGGUUGUAUUGAUGGUUUGUGUGAGACCAAACAUUUUUUGGGUAUUGCAUGAAUUUGUGUUGCACCUGCAUAGUUAUAUAAAUAGCAAUUCGGUAAAUGUUUGAACAAAAUAUGAUCGAAAAACCGUCACAACAAAACUUCUACAAUACAUCUCAUUGCGGCUUUUAUUAUAUAGUAGAGAUAUGAGUAAGAAUAAAUGACGAUUUCUAUGGCCUAUAAUAUUGAGAAAGCAAAUAAGAAAAUUAUGUGGUUCGUAAUUAUUAGGCUAUUAAAUAUUUUGUGCCCCUGCGACCAAAAUUAUAACCAUGGAUGUAAAUAAAAUAAAAUAAAAACAUAUUUUAAUAUAAUUUUAUUGUUUUUAAUCAUGUACAUGACUAUUUUACUAUCGCUCUCACUACAUUAUCGAAUUGGUAUUCAAUGAAAAGAGGAUUGAUCACAAUAUAAGUUGGUAUAAUUACUCAGUACCUAAUUUGUGUUCUAUUAUUUUAUACUUUAAUAUCUUUUUUUGUACUUUAAUCUCAUUUAUUUAUAUUUAUUUUAUUAAAUAUACCUUGAUAUCAUAUAUUUGUACUCUCAUUUAAUAUCCUAAAUUUUAUCAUAUAUCUUCAAUGAUCGAUUUUCAAUGAUUGAAUUAUGUGUUUAGAAGGUACUGAAUCGGUACUUACUAAUUUUCAUUAUUUUUAAAGCAAAAGGUAAAUUGACAUUUGGUAUGUAUGAUGUGCAAUCAUGCCUCAUAAAGCCAAAACAAAGCAAAGAAUAUAUAUAUAUAUAUAUAUAUAUAUAUAUAUGCCAAAGACAUGAGAAUAAAGCAUGAUUCCAAUUCCAAAAGGGUUGAGAGAUUUAAGACCCACUUUAUAGAGCAACCAUGUGAUAAAUACACCAAUUGAAAUAUAUAUAUAUAUAUAUAUAUAUAUAUAUAAUAUACAUAGUCCAUUCCUUCUUUUGGCCUUUAAUAAACCCUAGAUUCUCAUAUACCUUUUUUUUUUUUUUUAUUCUAGUUGUCAGUGAAAUAACAAUAACCCAUUAAAUGGAAAAUACAUAAUUCAUAAUAGAAAUCAUUUUUUUCGGUUUUCUAUCUUAUUUUGUUGAAAUUAGAAACUACCCAUUUUUUUUAUUAAAAAAAAGAAAAAAAGAAAAAAAAGAAAAAUCUGUCUCGACUGAAGUUGGUCAGUAUAGACUUGCAGCCAUGUGUAUGUUAUUAAUUCUAUUUUUUUUUUGAAGGCAUAGGAAAGUUUCUAAAUAGAAAAAGUGAAGCUUCUCAAAAACGUCAUAUAGCAUAUGUGCGUAAAAAAUACUUGCACCACCUGAGCUGCUUCUUCAUACAUACUUCUCCUUCAUCUCUCUGUCUAUCAUAUUCUUGGCUUUCUUUUGCUAUGUGGUUGUUAUUGUUGUUGAAGAUGAUGAUGAUGAUGAUGAAGAAGAAGCUUCUUUCAAUUGUUAGUGCCAUCACUGGGGAAAAUGAUAAGAAGAAGAUCGAGGGAACUAUUGUGUUGAUGAAGAAGAAUGUGUUGGAUUUUAAUGACUUCAAUGCACCGGUUCGGGACCGGGUUCAUGAGCUUUUUGGACAGGGAGUCUCUCUGCAGCUCGUCAGUGCUGUUCAUGGUGAUCCUGGUGAGUUUUUUUUUUUUUUUUUUUCCUUCAUGUUUUUGAUGAUGGGGUUGUUGAAGUUGGAGGAGAGGAGGUUGAUACCGUUUUGUGAGGGUGAGAUGGGUUCUGAAUUUUGAUGAUAGCAAUUGGAAAAAGAUGUGAUUUUUGGAAGAGGCCAAGAGGGGUUGUUAUUCUCAGAGAUGAGUCAAAUGACUUUCUUGACAUCUUCCAUUCAAGUGGCCAUUUUUCUAAGUGCUUUUGUUUUUUGUGUUUUGUGUUUUUUGUUUUGAUGCUUUUGUAGCAAAUGGGUUACAGGGGAAAAUUGGAAAACCAGCAUACUUGGAAGACUGGAUUAUCACAAUCACUUCUUUAACCGCGGGCGAGUCUGCAUUCAAGGUCACGUUCGACUGGGAUGAGGAGAUUGGAGAGCCAGGGGCAUUCAUAAUUAGAAACAAUCACCACAGUGAGUUUUACCUCAGGACUCUCACUCUUGAAGAUGUUCCUGGACGUGGCAGAAUUCACUUUGUUUGUAAUUCCUGGGUCUACCCUGCUCAGCACUACAAAACUGACCGUGUUUUCUUCACUAAUCAGGUAAGACUAAUUUGCUUGAUACUAGGAGAGUCUGCUGUGGCAUUGUGGCCCAUUGAGCUUAGGCAAGGAGAAUUGUCUGCUAAAGGAAUGUGUUUAUUUUAUCUGCUGCAGACAUAUCUUCCAAGUGAAACACCAGGGCCACUGCGCAAGUACAGAGAAGGGGAACUGGUGAAUCUGAGGGGAGAUGGAACAGGAAAGCUUAAGGAAUGGGAUCGAGUGUAUGACUAUGCUUACUAUAAUGAUUUGGGGAAUCCAGACAGGGAUCUCAAAUACGCCCGCCCUGUGCUGGGAGGAUCUGCAGAGUAUCCUUAUCCCAGGAGGGGAAGAACUGGUAGACCACCAUCUGAAAAAGGUAGAUAUUUGAUGCAAAAAUUCAUAUUGUUUUCUCAUGCUUUUAUCAUAAAAGGAUGAAUAUGAUUGAUUUCUGCUCUUCUUUUAAUUAACAGAUCCCAACACCGAGAGCAGAUUGCCACUUGUGAUGAGCUUAAACAUGUAUGUUCCAAGAGAUGAAAGAUUUGGUCACCUCAAGAUGUCAGACUUCCUGGCUUAUGCCCUGAAAUCCAUAGUUCAAUUCCUUCUCCCUGAGUUUGAGGCUCUAUGUGACAUCACCCACAAUGAGUUUGACAGCUUCCAAGAUGUAUUAGACCUCUACGAAGGAGGAAUCAAGGUCCCAGAGGGCCCUUUACUUGACAAAAUUAAGGACAACAUCCCUCUUGAGAUGCUCAAGGAACUUGUUCGUACUGAUGGGGAACAUCUCUUCAAGUUCCCAAUGCCCCAAGUCAUCAAAGGUACUGCAUACAUCUAACAUCUUGUAAUCUUUGAAGCCAGAUUUAUAUAUUUAUUUUUCGUAAAAUUGAUGACGUUUUUAUCAUGCUGGAGCAGAGGAUAAGUCUGCAUGGAGGACAGAUGAAGAAUUUGCAAGAGAAAUGCUGGCUGGACUCAACCCAGUUGUCAUCCGUCUACUCCAAGUAAACUACAGCUUCCUUUCAAAUAUUUUUAAAUGCUCUGUUUGGUUUCUGUGAAAAUGGAACUUGGAAAGGCUUCCAGACUUUGUUUUCUUUCCCUCCAUCUACUGUUCUAGCUCUUUUCUGAUAAUUAUUGGCUCUUUCUACUUUGUUUGCAGGAGUUUCCUCCAAAAAGCAAGCUGGAUCCUGAAAUUUAUGGCAACCAAAACAGUUCAAUAACCAAAGAACACAUAGAGAAUCACCUGGAUGACCUUACUAUAAAUGAGGUAACGCUCUUAGGUUCCCUUCUUUCAGACUAAAUUUUUCAAUGUCUGACAUGUUAAUUUUUUGCAUUGGAACACAAGCCAUAGUAACUGAAAAAUGGUGCUUUUUACUAGGCAAUGGAGAAGAAAAGGCUAUUCAUAUUAGAUCACCAUGAUGUUUUCAUGCAAUACCUGAGGAGGAUAAACACAACUUCCACGAAAACUUAUGCCUCAAGGACUCUCCUCUUCCUGAAAGACGACGGAACUUUGAAGCCGCUGGCGAUUGAAUUGAGCCUACCACAUCCUAGUGGGGAUAAAUUUGGAGCUGUCAACAAAGUAUAUACGCCAGCUGAAAAUGGUGUU